UACGAAGGGGGCUAGCGUUGCUCGGAAUUACUGGGCGUAAAGGGCGCGUAGGCGGAUAGUUUAGUUGGGGGUGAAAGCCCGGGGCUCAACCUCGGAACUGCCUUCAAUACUGGCUAUCUUGAGUACGGGAGAGGUGUGUGGAACUCCGAGUGUAGAGGUGAAAUUCGUAGAUAUUCGGAAGAACACCAGUGGCGAAGGCGACUUACUGGACACAUAUUGACGCUGAGGUGCGAAAGCGUGGGGAGCAAACAGG
rnacentral:rRNA from 1 species